UAUACACCUUUACCAGGUCAUGACAGUAGUAUACACCUUUACCAGGUCAUGACAGUAGUAUACACCUUUACCAGGUCAUGACAGUAUUAUACACCUUUACCAGGUCAUGACAGUACUAUACACCUUUACCAGGUCAUGAUAGUAUUAUACACCUUACCAGGUCAUGACAGUACCUUUACCAGGUCAUGACAGUACCUUUACCAGGUCAUGACAGUACUAUACACCUUUACCAGGUCAUGACAGUAUUAUACACCUUUACCAGGUCAUGACAGUACUAUACACCUUUACCAGGUCAUGACAGUAUUAUACACCUAUACCAGGUCAUGACAGUACCUUUACCAGGUCAUGACAGUACUAUACACCUUUACCAGGUCAUGACAGUACUAUACACCUUUACCAGGUCAUGACAGUACUAUACACCUUUACCAGGUCAUGACAGUACUAUACACCUUUACCAGGUCAUGACAGUACUAUACACCUUUACCAGGUCAUGACAGAAUAAACCACAAAUGGUUUAACGAGAAGGAAUUCUUUGGAUAGGUAGGAAUACUCUGUAUUGAUAAUGUAAGUUUACCGUAGAUUGAUAAUGUAGGGCUACUGUAGAUUGAUAAUGUAGGGCUACUGUAGAUUGAUAAUGUAAGGUUACCGUAGAUCGAUAAUGUAGGGCUAAUGUUGAUAAAUAACGUAGGGCUCCUGUAGAUUGAUAAUGUAGGGCUACUGUAGAUUGAUAAUGUAGGGCUACUGUAGAUUGAUAAUGUAGGGCUACUGUAGAUUGAUAAUGUAGGGCUACUGUAGAUUGAUAAUGUAAGGUUACCGUAGAUCGAUAAUGUAGGGCUACUGUUGGUAAAUAACGUAGGGCUACUGUAGAUUGAUAAUGUAAGCUACGUUUGAUAAAUAACUAGGGCUACUGUAUAUUGAUAAUGUAGGGCUACUGUAGAUUGAUAAUGUAGGGUUACUGUAGAUCGAUAAUGUAGGGCUACUGUUGGUAAAUAACGUAGGGCUACUGUAGAUUGAUAAUGUAGGGCUACUGUAGAUUGAUAAUUUAGGGCUACUGUAGAUUAAAAAGAUAGGGCUACUGUAGAUUGAUAAUGUAAGGUUACCGUAGAUUGAUAAUGUAGGACUACUGUAGAUAAAUAAUGUAGAGCUACUGUAGAUUGAAUUUGUCAGCUGUUAUUCUAGGUAGCUUCAGAUAUAUUAUCUCCCAGUACAAACCCGGUGUCCUUGUUCC